rnacentral:rRNA from 1 species
GAGUUUGAUUCUGGCUCAGGAUGAACGCUGGCGGCGUGCUUAACACAUGCAAGUCGAACGAAGCGCUUGGAUGGAAUUCUUCGGAAGGAAGCUCAAGUGACUGAGUGGCGGACGGGUGAGUAACGCGUGGGUAACCUGCCUCAUACAGGGGGAUAACAGUUAGAAAUGACUGCUAAUACCGCAUAAGCACACGUGAUCGCAUGAUCGAGUGUGAAAAACUCCGGUGGUAUGAGAUGGACCCGCGUCUGAUUAGCUAGUUGGUGGGGUAAUGGCCCACCAAGGCGACGAUCAGUAGCCGGCCUGAGAGGGUGAACGGCCACAUUGGGACUGAGACACGGCCCAAACUCCUACGGGAGGCAGCAGUGGGGAAUAUUGCACAAUGGGGGAAACCCUGAUGCAGCGACGCCGCGUGAAGGAUGAAGUAUUUCGGUAUGUAAACUUCUAUCAGCAGGGAAGAAAAUGACG